rnacentral:lncRNA from 1 species
AAACUGAAAACAUAAUUUUCUCAGCAUUGUUAUUUUUGUGAAGUGAAUCUGCCUUACGGAAGUUUUGAGGAGGUUUCUAUGAACAUAUUUAAACAAACUUGGUAUCAUUUUUUUCAGCAGCACCUGAACUACAGGCUAAAGCUUUUCUUUUUUUCUGAACAUCGAUGCAAUUGUAAUUAUUUGAUAAGUACCAGCUAAUUACUG